AUUGAACGCUGGCGGCAGGCCUAACACAUGCCAGUCGAGCGCGCGGCGGACGGGUGAGUAAUGUCUGGGGAUCUGCCCGAUAGAGGGUGAUAACUACUGGAAACGGUGUCUAAUACCGCAUACUAUCGGAUGAACCCCUAUGGGAUUAGCUAGUAGUUGGGGUAAAGGCUCACCUCGGCGACGAUCUCUAGCUGGUCUGAGAGGAUGAUCAGCCACACUGGUACUGAGACACGGCCCAGACUCCUACGGGAGGCAGAAGUGGGGAAGAUUGCAAAAUGGGCGCAAGCCUGAGGCAGCCAGGCCGAGUGUAUGAAGAAGGCCUUAGGGUUGUAAAGUACUUUCAGCGGGGAGGCGUUACCCGCAGAAGAAGCACCGGCUAACUCCGUGCCAGCAGCCGCGGUAAGAC
rnacentral:rRNA from 1 species